GUGCUCUCUUCGGCAGCACAUAUACUAAAAUUGGAACGAUACAGAGAAGAUUAGCAUGGCCCCCGCGCAAGGAUGACAGGCAAAUUCGUGAAGCAUUCCAUAUUUUU
rnacentral:snRNA from 1 species